rnacentral:rRNA from 1 species
GUGGGGAAUCUUGCGCAAUGGGCGAAAGCCUGACGCAGCCAUGCCGCGUGAAUGAUGAAGGUCUUAGGAUUGUAAAAUUCUUUCACCGGGGACGAUAAUGACGGUACCCGGAGAAGAAGCUCCGGCUAACUUCGUGCCAGCAGCCGCGGUAAUACGAAGGGGGCUAGCGUUGCUCGGAAUUACUGGGCGUAAAGGGCGCGUAGGCGGACAGCUUAGUCAGAGGUGAAAGCCCAGGGCUCAACCUUGGAAUUGCCUUUGAUACUGGCUGUCUUGAGUUUGGGAGAGGUGAGGGGAACUCCGAGUGUAGAGGUGAAAUUCGUAGAUAUUCGGAAGAACACCAGUGGCGAAGGCGACUCACUGGCCCAAUACUGACGCUGAGGCGCGAAAGCGUGGGGAGCAAACAGGAUUAGAUACCCGAGUAGUCC